UUGCUUCCAUCACUUCUCUCCUCUGACAGUGUUUAGGCCCUUUUGAAUAGCAGCCCAUGGGUGGGCAGAUUGUCUACUAAAACAGACUGAGAGCAUGAAGGUUUACCCUGCACUGCCUUUGGGAGAAGUGGCCAUGCCCAGGAUCGAAGCCAUGGUGCCACCCAAACCUCUGGUGAUCCUGAGAUGUCACCCCUGACAUACAGUUUGGUGCUGCAUGAGAUUGCUUCUGGGAUGCUUCUGUAGCUUUUGGCUCUGGCUAAAUAACAGUAGAGCUCCCAAUAGCAGGAGUCAUAUGACCAUGCUCUUGUGCACUUGUGAAUGGAAAAUCAUGUGUCUUCAUAAAUCACAGGCAUAUAAAGACCAGAUGUGAUGUUCAGAACUCCCACAUAUUCACAUGAGAAUGGGCCAAUGCUAGCAAAGGAGAAUUAUCUGCGCUGUGUGUUUUACUUUGCUUUA